UACGGGGGGGGGCAAGCGUUGUUCGGAAUUACUGGGCGUAAAGGGCUCGUAGGCGGCCAACUAAGUCAGACGUGAAAUCCCUCGGCUUAACCGGGGAACUGCGUCUGAUACUGGAUGGCUUGAGGUUGGGAGAGGGAUGCGGAAUUCCAGGUGUAGCGGUGAAAUGCGUAGAUAUCUGGAGGAACACCGGUGGCGAAGGCGGCUCACUGGUCCGGUACUGGACGCUGAGACGCGAAAGCGUGGGGAGCAAACAGG
rnacentral:rRNA from 1 species